rfam:Vigna radiata var. radiata cultivar VC1973A scaffold_213, whole genome shotgun sequence
AUCUGAUGGUGGGGACAGCUUGCACAAAGUGUCUUGAAUCUCUCCCAAUACUCAUACAAGCUCUCUCCACCAAGCUGCAUAAUCCAAGUGAUGUCUUUCCUGAUAGCU